rfam:Tupaia chinensis contig208496, whole genome shotgun sequence.
AUCCUUUGUGGUUCACAAGCAUAAGUAGAUUUCACACCACUUUGCGAGAUGUGCCUUCCUCAAACCUUGUUAAAGAUUGGCACUGUACCCAUGUGAGA